AGAACGAACGCUGGCGGCAUGCCUAAUACAUGCAAGUCGAACGAACUCUUCGGAGUUAGUGGCGCACGGGUGCGUAACGCGUGGGAAUCUGCCCCUUGGUUCGGAAUAACAGUUGGAAACGACUGCUAAUACCGGAUGAUGACGAAAGUCCAAAGAUUUAUCGCCAAGGGAUGAGCCCGCGUAGGAUUAGCUAGUUGGUGAGGUAAAGGCUCACCAAGGCAACGAUCCUUAGCUGGUCUGAGAGGAUGAUCAGCCACACUGGGACUGAGACACGGCCCAGACUCCUACGGGAGGCAGCAGUAGGGAAUAUUGGACAAGUGGGACGAAAGCCUGAUCCAGCAAUGCCGCGUGAGUGAGUGAAGGCCGUUAGGUUGUAAAGCUACGUUUUACCCGAGAUGAUAAUGAACAGUAGUAGGAGAAUACGACCCCGACUAACGUCCGUGCCAGCCAGCCGUC
rnacentral:rRNA from 1 species